ACAUAAGUUGUGUUCUUUGCUGUAAAUAUGGGCAUAAAGCAAUUGGUGGAAUUUAGGUGGGCCUUUUGCUAAGUGUAGAAGACCCAUAAAGGACUACCUUACAUUG